UACGGGGGGGGCAAGCGUUGUUCGGAAUUACUGGGCGUAAAGGGCUCGUAGGUGGCCAACUAAGUCAGACGUGAAAUCCCUCGGCUUAACCGGGGAACUGCGUCUGAUACUGGAUGGCUCGAGAUUGGGAGAGGGAUGCGGAAUUCCAGGUGUAGCGGUGAAAUGCGUAGAUAUCUGGAGGAACACCGGUGGCGAAGGCGGCAUCCUGGACCAACACUGACGCUGAGGAGCGAAAGCCAGGGGAGCAAACGGG
rnacentral:rRNA from 1 species